rnacentral:rRNA from 1 species
AGUCACAGCUGNAUAACCUAUCAUUACAACAGGACAAACCCCGCGACACUGGGNCUAAUCCCUGAUAGCUGAGAACUCCUGGAAUGGAUUAUCGCUCAAAGGGCGUGUAGGCCAUGCUUCUAGGCGUUGCCCAAGGAGGAGGCCGCGGCCGAUCAGGUUGUUGGUGAGGUAAUGGCUCACCAAGCCUUUAACCGGUACGGGCCGUGAGAGCGGUAGCCCGGAGAUGGGCACUGAGACAAGGGCCCAGGCCCUACGGGGCGCAGCAGUCGCGAAAACUCCGCAAUUCACGAAAGUGUGACGGGGCCAUCCCCGAGUGCCAUCCGCUGAGGAUAGCUUUUCCCUAGUGUACAAAGCUGGGGGAAUAAGGAGAGGGCAAGCCUGGUGUCAGCCGCCGCGGUAA